AUCCCAUGAUGAGGACAGGCGGCGACGUACUCCUGCAGAUGCUCCCAAGCUUCUGGUAUGGAUUCCUCCUUCAUCUGCUGGAAGUUGGAGGUCUUCCCGCGAAGGGC
rnacentral:snoRNA from 1 species